ensembl:lncRNA
AUGAUGCUGACCCCGGACAGCGUGAGGAGAUCCUUCAGCAGGAUCAAUGCACGCAAAGCUCCGGGUCCUGACAACAUUCCUGGGCGUGUACUGAGAGACUGUGCAGCAGAACUCACUGAUGUCUUCACAGACAUUUUCAACAUCUCACUUAGUCAGGCUGUUGUUCCCACAUGCUUCAAAGCUACCACCAUCAUUCCAGUCCCGAAGAAGCCGUCUCCAUCCUGCUUCAAUGACUACCAUCCAGUUGCAUUUACUCCUAUUCUCAUGAAGUGCUUUGAACGGCUAGUCAUGCACCAUAUCAAGUCUGCCCUCCCCACCUCCCUGGACCCCUUCCAGUUUGCAUAUCGGUCCAACCGCUCGACCGAUGACGCCAUUGCAACUGCCCUCUACUCAGCACUCACACAUAUAGACAAAAAUGACUCAUACAUCAAAAUGCUGUUAAUAGACUUCAGUUCAGCAUUCAACACAAUCAUCCCUCAACAGCUCAUUCACAAACUGGUCGAGCUGGGGCUCAACACUUCGCUGUGCAACUGGCUGUUGGACUUUCUGACUGGAAGACCGCAGGCAGUACGGGUUAUCAGUAACACAUCCAGCACCAUCACACUGAACACUGGGGCACCCCAAAGAUGUGUGCUGAGCCCCCUCCUCUUCACUCUGCUGACCCAUGACUGCUCACUGUCACACAACUCCAACCUCUUUAUUAAGUUUGCGGAUGACACGUCUGUGGUGGGUCUCAUUAGCAACAGAGACGAGACAAACUACAGGAGCGAGGUGAGCCGCCUGGCCGGGUGGUGCAGUGACAACAAUCUCUCUCUGAACGUGGAGAAGACGAAGGAGAUUGUUGUUGACUUCAGGAGAGUGCACACUCAGCAUGCUCCUCUGACCAUCAACAGUGCGACUGUGGAGAGAGUGAGCAGCACCAAGUUCCUGGGUGUGCACAUCACAGAGGACCUCUCCUGGACAGAAAACACAGCAGCACUGGCCAAGAAAGCACACAAGGUCCCACAUCCCCAGGUCCUUCCACUCCCCCCUCCCACUAACAUAUGGUGA